rnacentral:rRNA from 1 species
UGGGGAAUAUUGGACAAUGGGGGCAACCCUGAUCCAGCAAUGCCGCGUGAGUGAUGAAGGCCUUCGGGUUGUAAAGCUCUUUUGGCGGGGACGAUGAUGACGGUACCCGCAGAAUAAGCCCCGGCUAACUUCGUGCCAGCAGCCGCGGUAAUACGAAGGGGGCUAGCGUUGUUCGGAAUUACUGGGCGUAAAGGGCGCGUAGGCGGUUUGAAUCGUCGGAUGUGAAAGGCCUGGGCUCAACCUGGGAAUGGCAUCCGAUACGGUCAGACUUGAGUGUGGGAGAGGUUGGUGGAAUUCCCAGUGUAGAGGUGAAAUUCGUAGAUAUUGGGAAGAACACCGGUGGCGAAGGCGGCCAACUGGACCACAACUGACGCUGAGGCGCGAAAGCGUGGGGAGCAAACAGGAUUAGAUACCCUGGCAGUCCACGCUGUAAACGAUGCGUGCUAGACGUUGGGAGCCCUAGGCUCUCGGUGUCGUCGCUAACGCUUUAAGCACGCCGCCUGGGGAGUACGGUCGCGAGAUUAA